UACAGAGGGUGCAAGCGUUAUUCGGAAUUACUGGGCGUAAAGGGUGCGUAGGUGGUUUAAUAAGUUAGUUGUGAAAGUCCAGGGCUUAACCUUGGGACUGCGGCUAAUACUGUUGGACUAGAGUACUGUAGAGGGAGGUGGAAUUUCCAGUGUAGCGGUGAAAUGCGUAGAUAUUGGAAGGAACAUCAGUGGCGAAGGCGACCUCCUGGAUAGAUACUGACACUGAGGCACGAAAGCGUGGGGAGCAAACAGG
rnacentral:rRNA from 1 species